ensembl:piRNA 21ur-2822 ncRNA
UUGAAGACUGUUGAACAUAUC